GGAGAAAUGGCCGAGUGGUCGAAGGCGCACGCCUGGAAAGUGUGUGUACGCCAAAAGCGUACCAAGGGUUCGAAUCCCUUUUUCUCCG
rnacentral:tRNA from 1 species